GAGGGCCCCCAGAGUAAACUCCAAUUCCUGCAUGUAUUGUGGUCGACCUGGUCAUUAUCUCUCUUCUUGCCCAGUACACUGGUCUCUGACCCAGUCAGAACACGAGCAGCAUGUGCACCAGGUCUUACAGCGCCUCCUGGAGAACGAGCUGUAUGUGAAAGCAGAAAAGUGUGACUUCCAUGUACCUUCUGUGUCGUUUCUUGGUUAUAUCAUUGCACAGGGGCAGGUGCAGAUGGAUCCAGCUAAGGUGACAGCUGUUACAGAAUGGCCAAAACCCACUAACCUGAAACAGUUGCUAAGCUUUCUGGGCUUUGCAAACUUUUACAGGAGGUUCAUUAAAAAUUAAUCACAUAGCUGCUCCACUCACUGCUCUCACCUCCACUUCCACUCCUUUCCUAUGGUCUCCUGAGGCUGAAGUGGCCUUUAAAGACCUUAAGAACUGCUUCGCCUCAGCACCCAUCCUCAUCCAACCAGAUCCUGCUUGCCAGUUUGUCGUGGAGCUGGAUGCUUCAGACAGCGGGGUAGGUGCAGUACUAUCCCAGCGAUCAUCAAAUGACAAACUUCAUCCUUGUGCCUUUUUCUCCUGCAAGCUGUCACCUGCUGAAAGAAAUUACAAUAUCGGUAACUGGGAACUUCUUGCUUCGCUUUGGAUUUUGUUACUGGCCUCCCACCAUCAAACGGUAAACAUUCUCACCAUAACAGAUCACUUUUCCAAAGCUGCACUUUUCUUGCCCUAUCCAAACUUCCCUCUGCUAGGGAGACUGCGGACCUGUUGGUGGACCAUGUCUUCCACCUGCAUGGAAUCCCAUCUGAAAUUGUGUCUGACCGAGGCCCGCAGUUCACCUCACAGGUUUGGAAGGCAUUUUGUUCAGCCCUGGGAGCCACAGUCAGUCUCUCUUCUGGGUAUCACCCCCAGUCCAAACCGAGGGGGCCAAUCAGGAAAUGGAGGCUGCACUCCGCUGCAUUACCUCUGCUAAUACACCCACAGUGGAGUACACUUGCAACACCUUACCAACGCCUCCUUGGGUAUGUUCCCUCUGCCUGCAGCAAUCUUGGCCUGAUUCUGACUCCCAUCUGAUCUACUUGGAACCUGCUCAGGAUCGCCUCCGUUCCCCCAAGCCUUGCGGACUCUUCCUGCCCUGCUUCACUCUGCCAAUUCCCCUGCUCAGCCCCCUGCACCUGCCUUAGCCUCAGAUUCAGCUGCCAGCCUCUGCCUUCCCCUGGCCACUAAGACUCUGCUGCUCCUUUUUUACCUCAACAUCAAGUUGUAAUAAAACCAAUCUGAUUCCA